rnacentral:tRNA from 1 species
GGGAAUGUAGCUCAGUGGGAGAGCACUUGCUUUGCUCUGGGUUCAACCCCCAGCAUCUCCA